UGGCCCUUAUGUCCAGGGCUACACACGUGCUACAAUGGCCGGUACAAAGGGUAGCAAGACCGCGAGGUGGAGCCAACCCCAAAAAGCCGGUCUCAGUUCGGAUUGGAGUCUGCAACUCGACUCCAUGAAGUUGGAAUCGCUAGUAAUCGUGGAUCAGCAUGCCACGGUCGAAUACGUUCCGGGCCUU
rnacentral:rRNA from 1 species